UACAGAGGUCUCAAGCGUUGUUCGGAUUCACUGGGCGUAAAGGGUGCGUAGGUGGCGGGGUAAGUUUGAUGUGAAAUCUCCGGGCUUAACCCGGAAACUGCAUUGAAUACUAUUCUGCUCGAGGUUUGGAGGGGGGACUGGAAUUCUCGGUGUAGCAGUGAAAUGCGUAGAUAUCGAGAGGAACACCAGUGGCGAAGGCGAGUCCCUGGACAACACCUGACACUGAGGCACGAAAGCUAGGGGAGCAAACAGG
rnacentral:rRNA from 1 species